rnacentral:rRNA from 1 species
CUCGUCACACCAUGGGGAGUCAAUUGCUCCAGAAGUCGGCGUGCCAACCGCAAGGAGGCAGCCGCCCAAGGAGUGAUUGGUGACUGGGGUG